rnacentral:rRNA from 1 species
UACGGGGGGAGCAAGCGUUGUUCGGAAUCACUGGGCUUAAAGGGCGCGUAGGCGGGCCGGACGGUCCGGGGUGAAAUCCCCCCGCUCAACGGGGGAACGGCCCCGGACACCGCCGGCCUCGAGGGGGGUAGGGGCGAGCGGAACGCUGGGUGGAGCGGUGAAAUGCGUUGAUAUCCAGCGGAACUCCGGUGGCGAAGGCGGCUCGCUGGGCCCUCUCUGACGCUGAGGCGCGAAAGCCAGGGGAGCGAACGGG